CUUCACUGAUUAUUAAUUAUAAGCUUUUAAAGUCUGGAUGCCAUAUAAAGAAAUCCAGAUACCUGGUUACAACUGGUACUUUUGUUCCCUUGAAGCUUCAUCAUUAAUAACUAACUAAACCUGCCUUCACUGGCCCGAGGAUGGCCUGCUCCUUUCAGGACCCCCCGGGCCUGGCAGGGCCCUGGCCCCUCCUUCCAUGCGGCUGCUGAUGGGUCCCUGCUGGCCCUCUGCUUCCAGAGCUGUUGGGCUCCCUCCUGAUGGGUCGGUCCUCUGAGCCCUGCUGGCCGGCCUGUCGCUGCGUUUUCCCUCCCAGUCAGCAGAGCUGCCUCAGCAUCCUUAGAGCCCCUCCGCCUGCCUGCUCAGCUCCAGGUUACGCCGAGAGCUCUUUGCAUAGACUAAAGAUCAUCCUUCACCUUGUUGGGUUUCUCACCCAGCCCUGCGGAAGUUGAAGUGGGGUUAUUCCUCCUUUAUUUCAAAAAGCAGGCCAAGACUCUUCUAAUUGCUUCUUAGGGCUUCGGAGUUCCCUCAGCCACACGCCAGGAGCAGCAAGCAUCCCCCUCCUUCCAGAAGUGACCUUCCGUCCCGCUGAGUCUCCGGUUUGAUACAGUGCAGGAUACGGACGGAUGAACUCACUGCUUUAUUUCUCACCGGCUCUGUUCGUCCUUUCACUGCUCGUUUUUCUUGGCAUAUUUCUUACACGUCUUUAUUUAGUCUUAAAAGAGCACAGACACAGCUGUCUGUUCAACAGAACCUGACGCCUGGGCGCGUCUCUGCCACUAGGGCGGUCCCUGUCCCACAGGGCGGGUCACGAAUGCGUCAGCCUCCCUGAGAGCUGGCCAGACUCUGGGGGGCUUGCUCACCCUCACCCAGCGGGGUCUGGGCUUUUGACUAGACCACGCUAGAUCUUGAGUCCCUGAUGGGCUCACUGACUUCCCUGUGCCUCGGCAUUCCAGUCCCUAAAAUGGACUUUUCCAACCACCUUGGCUCAGUACUUUGCAGCCAGCCUGCUGAUUUCCUGCAUGGAGUUGGGCCGACAUCCAUGCCUUCUCUCCUUAGCUGGAGCGUAAGGCCCGGGGAGGCGGUGGAGCUGCUGAUGACCCAUGUUCUGAUGUCUCUGAUCAACAGUGUGCUCGCUCGCUUCAGGCCUCGGGCCGGGGGCUGCAGCUGCCAGCACAGGGCUUGGCGGUGGUGGAGUCCCGAGGGAGACGGCACCCUUGAGCACAGACUUUUUAUGAAGGACAGAAAAAAGCCACAUCAUGAAGGUCCUUGACAACUGGGACCUGGACCUAAAAUGACUAAGCCAAGAAUCCAACUUCCAAGCACCGCCCAGAGCACUUACCCAGGUGCCCGUCAGUGUGCCACCAGUCCAGCCGGGUCUGAACUGGCUUUGAAGAGAGCCUGAGAAGGCAGAAGAGGCUUGCUUUCUCCCCGGCCCAUCCGGCCAACUGAGACCUGUAUCCUGUCCCUGCCCACCCAGUGGCAGGCGCUGCUGUUCUGGCAGGGACCUCCAUGGGGCCCACCCCCGCGUCUGCCCCCCUACCCUGGCUUUGACCCCUGGUUCCGAGCGCCCAGCUCCCGCUCCUAGAGCCGGGCCCUGGAGGAGGCUGGGCGGGCCUGGUGAGCUCUCCCCGCAGCAGGCAAGGGCUCUCCAUGCCGUCCAGGGGCUGGCUGAGUCUGCGUGGUGAGACUUGUCUUCGAAACAGCUGGGCGCAGAAGUUUACAGCUUCCAGCCGACCAUUGGCUCCACUUCGCGUGGUAACGCAACGUGUUCCUAAUGACUGGGUUGUUUAUUUAAUAGAGAAAUCGCAACCAUUUGGAGGUUUAAAUACAGCUUCACAGAAACCCAGUGAGCGCAGCGCCUGGUGGCUGCGUGGCGCUGGCACCGGCCCAGUCCCUGCACCGACCGCACAAAGCCCUAGCGAUGGUUUGAGAAAAAUUCUGGAGGAUCACUAACCCUAUUGUCUUUGCUGGGACCAUUUCUUGACCCCUCAGGGUCUCCUGGAUUUCAGUCUCAUUCCAACCUGGGCCAAAGACAGUCUGCACCCGUCUCCUGCGGCUACUGCAGAGGCAGGGCACCAGGUGGUCACAACGGGCCCCGGGGCAGCGCCCAACCUCCCUGGCUUGGACGGCAAGUCUCCCUCCCUCCCGUCUGUGGGGACCUGAGGCUGCUGCCUCCUACCUUGCUUGCUCCAGACAGAAGCCACCUCCUGCAGGUGAGUCCAAGGGGCAGUCCCCCAUCGAUCCCCCCUUCCUUCCACUCCAGUCUUCAGUGUUACUGUGUCAGAGAGGCAGGGACUCUGCUGUCAGGGCCUCCAGACCACCCAGCAGGUAAGAAAAAGGACAACUGGGGACUCUUUCAAAAAAAAAAAAAAACUAAUCGGGUAUGUUUUUCUUCAAACACCUACAUAUCACAACUCUGAUUAAUACACUCUUCAAAAUCUAGUUCCAUUUUACAUCCUUUCCUAACUGUACAAACCAGAACACUUCACUGCCUGUUUCCAUCUCCUCGCAAGGGAAAGGGGGGCAGGGGAGGAAGAGGGGUGCUUUCCCACCGAUGGGUCCUCACUGCUGAAGUGGUGGCUGGAUUUGGAGGCAGGUGGGCUGGGUUUGGGCUGGGCCCAUGCAGUGGGGAAGGCAGCCUGUGAGGACUAAAAUCCCAAUAGUGUCCUCACCGCAGCCUGGCUGAUCUGGUCACCCGGACACUCCCCAGAAGCCAGGCUAUCUUGCCCUCAGGGUGCUGAGCAGGAGGGCAAGGGUGGAGGGUGGCCGAAUUUAAAGCAAGAUGCAUUGCUGCUUUGCAGGCUGCUGGCUCCAGACCAGAGGGGCCCAGAGACCAUCAGUGCAAGCUCUCCGUGGACCUGGGGGGAGACUCAGGCCCAGGGUGGGAGGUGGCGGGACCACUACGGCCCUUCUGGGCAGGGCAGAGAAGCCAGUCUGGUGUGAACAGAAACGAGACCACCGCCCUAGCCGGGCAGUGCUUCUCAAGGACUGUGGGCCGACAAUAGGUACUCAGACCACGCUGGGCGUUGGGGGAGGGCUGACUGCCGUCUCAGGGUUGUGAAGAUGACGGGAGCUUACAGGGGUGCCUGGCACAGAGCAGGUGCUUGGGUGAUGGCGGCCGGCUGCAGGCCCAAGUUGGGGAGGCCAAACCGCUCAGGCCCGAGCUUCAUACUUGGUAUGACCCUUGUGAUUAGCCAAACUCCAGCAGGGAAAAAUGAAACCAAUUUCCUGACUGAGUGAGGAGCCCGGCCUCGAAUUCAUUGUGCAGGCUGUGAGGAAGUGGACCAAGGACCCCUGGGCGGUGCUGGGGGUGGGGGGCACAUGGCCCCAGGGCUGGCCCUGUGUGAAGCCAUCAGACACCAAGGCCUGGGGCAUGGUAUCUCCAGGAAGCUUUGGAAAGGGGGCAGCCAGAAAGGAGUGGGCGAGGUGCGGCCCAGGCUGUUCAUGACAGCCACGGGUGGGGGGGGGGGUGUGAGGGCCGCCACAGGAAGCGGUCAUGGCUUUCUUGGUACCCGAGAACCUAGUGGUUCCUGCCCCUGCCCGUCCCUGGCGUGGGUCCUCCAGCAGCUCACUGAGCCAGUGAAGUGGUCCUGACUCCAGCAACCCCUUCCCCUAGCCGGGCCCAGAUGCCUUCACAGCCUGCGUUCCAGGCCCUUCCCAGCUGUUGACACUGCUGAGAGGCCUUGUGGGAGCUGAUGUCAUUACACAAAUAGUGUCACUGCCAUAAACCCAGCCCGUGCCCCUUCCCCCUCCCCUGGAAAAUGUCAUAAAGGAGCUGCUUCCAACUUUCCAGAAAGGAAACUCUCUGGGAGGUUUUUGCGUUCGCAAUGCCUCCUCCAACAGGCAGCUCCAGCAUGAGCAGUGACCGACCACCCGGCUUGGGCUUCUCAGGGGUGUCCUUGGGCCCACUGCCCUCUGCCCGGGCCAGCACCCCCCACCCCUCAGCUGGGCGGGGGCAGGACCAGCAGGGGCUUGAUGGUUCUGGCUACACAGGCUAAACCCCACCCAGGAGGGCCUUUGUGGCAGGUCAUGGUGGCCCACCUGGGUAAGGCUGGCUGGACAGGCUACUUCCACCUCCCCUGCAGACGGGGCCCAAGUUGUCACAGCCAGGGUUUCUGUGGGAAUUCCCAAAGAAAAGUCGGGGGAACAGGAAAGGAUUUUGGGUCUUAUGUUAAGGGUGGUGGUUUGGCCGGGCUGGCUCAGCCCCCGCCCGGACUGCAGGCCUGAGUUCACAGUUCUCCUCACGUGCCCUUCUCUACCCCUCACGUGUGGCCCGCCUGCCCCGACACCCUCCCGCCCCGGGGGGAAGGAGCCCGUGAGGUAGCUUAAGUCUCGCCCUCAUUUCUCUGGGGCCUGGCCGCCCAGGGGCGCGUGGGGCGGGGCUGGGGGCGGGGGCCACCGAGGGCCCCGCCCUCGUCGCGUCCCCGCCCCCACCCUCCCCCCAGCUGGGAAAGCCCUCGCGGGCCAAGUCCAUGCCGCGGUGGCGGGCCGCCCGCUCCUGCUCUCGCCGGCCCCGCACCCCGCCCGCCUGCCCGCCCGGCGCGCCGCAGCCUCCGCACUAGGCCUUCUUGCACUUGCCCUUCUUCUCACGCUGCUGGAACUUGCGCAGCCGCCGCGCCCACGUGUCCCGCCACUGGAUCACCAGGCUGCUCUUGUCCGCCACGAUGCCGCUCUGGUCGGGCGAGUCCUCCGCGUUGCCCAGCAGCAGGUACUUCUUGAGGGACUUGAUUUUGGGGCACUUGCAGGCUAUGUCCCGUGAGCGAAUCCACAGGUUCUGGUCACCGCGGCGGAUGCGGCUUGUGCCCUGCUUGUACACGGAGAUGAUGUUCACUGUGAACUUCCACCAGUCCCCUGCCUUGUCUGCCUUCAGGAUGUGGAUCUGAACGGCUGCAAGGAAGCACAGGCAGGCGGGUGGGCCACAGGUGCCUCCUGGGUCCCCAGCUCCUGCAGCCAGAUCCAUCCUGCCUGCCCCCACCCUCUCCGAGGGCCAGGGAUGGAGGAGGAGGUGACUGCCCAAGGUACUCCACUAGGGAAUGGAUGUGCAGUGGCAAAACUGAUCCUGGAAUCCUGCCUUCUCAUACCAGGGCCAAAGUCACUGCUCCAAGAAGGCUUAUCUCCUGCCUGUGUGGAAGGUGCCACCCAGUACUGUCACCACCUGCCCACUUAGCUCUGGGCACUGGGCCCACCCAGAGCAUGUUCUGGCCUCCCCUGCUGGCCAGCCUCUCUCAAGGCAUCUGGGGGCCAUUCUGCUGUCUUCACUCCCAGGGCCCUCCUUGUCCCCCUCCUGUGCCCACGCUUGGCCCAGGAUGAUAAGAGGCAGAGAUGGCUGGACCCUCCAGCAAAUACCACCUGACAUCUUUCUGGGGUGAAGGAAGUGGUGGAUUUUCCCGUAUUUUCAUUUCAGCUGUUCCUGGGCAUCCUGAACUUUGCACUCCAGUCUGAGGGCUCCAAAGAAUGGCUGCCAUGGCAACCGUUUCCAUGUUUUUGUCACCAAGGGACUCAACAGUCUGAACUCUGAGCUGGGGGCGGUGGGGAGCCCUCCAGCCCCGAGCAGUAGCUAAGCUGUGUGUUUGACAGUGCAGACGGAGGUCACCGUGGCAACUGAAUGCCCCUCAGUGAAGCAAAGGGGGAGCCACCUCCAGCAUCCCUGAGGGCCCCGGUUUCCUCUCCUCAGGACUGAGCUGAAUACAGAAUGAGCCUCCCCCAGGAUGCAGCUGUUUCCCUGCGUGAGACCUCAGACCUCUGGCCCAGCCACAGAGCCCCCCAGCCAGAGUGGGCAGGAGUGGCCCCAGAAGGCUGCUGCAGGAGGCCUCUCCGCCUAGGGCCCCUGAAGAAUGUGGCUUUGAUCAGCGGUGGUAGCUAAACUGUUUAUCCCUACCCCGACCCCUGCACAUUCAUAUGUGAAGUCCUGAUCCCCAGAACAGCGUCUUUAAGGGAUAGUUACAAUGAAGUUAUUGGGGUGGGCCCUAAUCCGAUAGGGCUGAUGUCCUCACAAGAAGAAACUGUAACACAGACAUGUGGAGGGAAGACUGUGUGAAGACACAGCAAGAAGACAGCCAUCUCCAGGCCAAGGAGAGAGGCCAGAGUGGCCACAAGCCUGAGGGCACCCUGACCGAGGACUGCCAACCCCCAAGACCAGGAAGAAAGAAACUCCCGUUGUCUGGGCCCCUCAGACUGUGUACUUGGUUCCGGCAGCGUGAACAAACUCAUGCAACUGGACUCGCAGACUCCAGACCUUGGGCCUCAGCUCAGGGCCAGCUGGGCAGACAGACCUGGGGGGGGGGGGGGUCCUUCCCAGCUGUGCUAACAAGAGGGCAGAAAGAGCGGGCUGGAGCAGGUCUGGCUCUCCAGGCCCCCAAGGGGACUUUCUUACUCCCUGGACCUGCAGGAAUGUGGCCCUUCACAGCAGGAGGACUGGAGACCUCUGUCCCCCCGUUCCUGGAGCUCCCCCACCACCCAAAAUGCCCUGGAACACCAGGCAGGGCAUCCAUGGCUGCCCCCACCUCCUCUUCCCUGGCCAGCACCAGCCUGAAGGGGACCCCCUUCACACCAAGGAUGCAACCCGGAGGAGCUGCAACCCGGCUCUGGGAUACCUUGCCAUCCUCAAGGAUCCAGCGGCCAGAGCAGAGGACACAGGCCCGUCAGGACAAAGCACUGGCCCUUGUCCUCCUUCCAGCCCAGCAGCUCCCUGGCCACCAGGUGGGACGGCACAGGACUGGGGGCAGUGCUGGGUGGUGGUAGUUCAUGUGAUCAUGCUGGAAAAAAUCCACGUUCCCGCUGCCCUUGGCAACGCCUCUGCAUAUUACACAGCCCACCAAGUAUGAGCUGCACACGCGGUGCACACACAGCUGAAAACAGUCAAAAUACACAUUGAAACAGUGACCUCAGAGGGACCCACUCUGCACACUUGGGAAGCAUGCUUGGCUCAGCACAGUGCAGGGGCUGCUGCCACCUCUGAUGCCCCACUGGCUGGGAGCCAGGACUGGGGGCUUCUGGGGGCUCGUGGCACUGCCUGACAGGAGGCCCAUCCUAGGACCACGGGCCCAGAGGAUGUGGCCCUUAUACCCACAUGACGCUCCUUCCAGGCCAACGAGCCUAAGCCCCACAUCCCUGAACCGACGUCCUAAACUGGCCUCAAUGAGGCUCCCCCAUCCCAUAUUCAGACAUGAGACAGAGAUGACCCUCAGAAAGGUGGUCAGUGAGAUCAGACCGGGGCGAUAAGAGGCAUGCUGAGACCCCUUAAAUCAGAGACUCGUCUGCAGGAAAAGGGUCCCAGCACAAAGCCAGCAGGGAGAAGUGUCCCCAGCUCAGUCUGGGGUGCUCCCAGACAAGCAGGGGUGGGACUGGCACCCCAGAGAUAGCAUGAGUGAAGCUGGCUCCAGAAGCACCCCCUACCCCAGGAAGCACCUCUGCAGGAUGGAGCGGGCGCCCACAGAAAAGCAAGGGGAGCGCAGCUCCACAGAAAUGAGUUGGCCUCCAGGUCCCAGGGGCCAGGCUGCACUUCAUCUCCUGCCCCAUAUCUACAGGAAAACCUUUCCUGCAGGCCAGAGCAGCCACCCCUGUCAGCAGUUCUGGGGCUUUCAUGCCAGGAACCCUCCUCAAGCCUGCUGCACCGGCCCAGGGCAGCGGGGAGGAGACAGCUGUCGCUCGCUCAUCUGCUGGCCCAGCCUACGGAGCAUGGCCUGCUGGGCGGGGCCUGGGGCAGCGGCCGGGGCACCAGCCCUGGGGCUGGGCGAGGGGCAGGGGGCUGCCGUCCUCUCCCAGCAAGCUUGGGACACCUCUGCACCGAGGCUUCCCGCCUCCCGGAGGUCUCCAAGAUUUAUAGGCUGCUCAGAGCAGGUCCUCAGAGGCUUCCCAGCAGCUGCCUCUCCCAGGGAGGCUUGGGUGGUCGGCCCCGGCCUCCCCUGUCCAGCCUUACCUUCCUGUUGGGCCAGUCCAGCCAGAGAAGACUUGUCACCCAUCUGCCUCAGAGACAGCGGGGAGGACACUAACCGCACAGAAACCAUUAAAACCACACAGCCCCAUAAAUCUCCCCAUUCAGAAAGCGUGUCAUGAGUUGCAGCUGCUUUCAUAAAAUGCAGCCCUGACCACGUGUUUCCCAACCCCCCACUAAGGUCAGAAACGGUGGAGCAGGGCCAAGCCUUGUUCUCAGGGAUGCUCACCUGCGGCGGGGGGGGGGGGGGGGGUGAGCAGGUGGUGUGAGAGGGAGUGCAGGCAGGGUGGCACAGGAGCCCCGCCCAGUCUGCCUCAAGUGAGGCAGAGGGCUGGAGGCUCACUGUGGUCAGACCCCUCAAAUCAGGCUCCUCAGGAAUCCGGGCUGCCACCUCCUGCCACACCCACCAAGGCCCACCUCAGACCUUGAAUAAAGUGGGGACAGCCAACUUGGGGCUGGUGAAGGCUUCCCUCAUUUCCCUCCUCAGCCAAAGAAGUAAUGGUGCAUCCCCUCUGAGACUAACAGCAAAAUGGAGGUAGCCUCAGUGUCCCCUGCCAGGUCCCACUGCUCAGGCUCUGUUCUUGGGAGGGGAAAGGGGAGGCAUGAGGUGCCUGGGACCAUCUGAUUGCCAAGGGCUCCCAGGAGGAGAAGACAUCAGGAAAUCUGGAAAUCAGAAAGCCAGGAAGGACACCAGCCUUGUUCCCAGAGAAACAGUCAUGGUCUGGCCUGGCCCCCUGCAUUCCCAGCCCACAGGUAGAACUCAGGGGACGGCCACCCUGCUUUGCAAGAGAGUGGACCUGGGGCCUAGCCCUGCCCUGCUGAGCUGGGCGCCCUCGUCACAGAGGCUGGUCUCUCCUGCGAUCAGCCCAGGGUGGCUGCUGCCCAGGAAGGAAGCCCAGCCUGCCAGCCUGCCGCCUGCCACAUACACAGGGGGCAACAGGGUUUGUAAAAGCCGGUGCAGGAAGAGUGAGGGUGCUGGGGUCCUCAUCCGAAGGCACUCACACCAGGGGACAGGAGUGUCAGGACCCAUGAGAUCCACCCCACGGGGGGAAGAUGCCCACCUGAGUCCCGCGUGGGUGAAGUACUCUGUGAUCCUGGAAACAGGUCGCUGGUGAGCAGGGAGAAGGCAAGUGUCUCCUGUCUGCAGGGGAAGCAGGCUGGUGUCCCCAGGCAGCUUGGACAGAUCCCUGCCUCCCCCGAUCCCCACAUGAGUCUCAGUCUCCUCAUUCGUGAAAUGGGAGAUACCUUUCACUGGACAGCCUCCACUACCCACACCUCCUUCCUAAAACCGGGAGGUUCAGAGGAGAGGAAGCUCAGGGAGGGGCACGGAUGGGGCCUGGGGUUGCCCAGCCCGCAGGGCAGGCCCCCCACAGCCCAGCACCCUACAGCCGCUGGGGUGGCAGAGGUGGGAGGCCCCGGCUCGGGCUCCCCUGUCUGUGGGGACAGGGCCUCGCUGUGUGGGGAAGGCCUGUAGCCCACCACCCCUACUAGUGGCAGGAGACCCCACUCAGUGCAGUGACCUGCAGGCUCGGGCUUUUUUGGAGCUGUGGCUGGGGCCCACUGGCCCUCCCUGCCCAACCUGGUGAUCACCCACCUUCUUCGACCUCAGGCUGACUCAUGCUGACCCAGCUCCACAUCUGGCCUCCAUAUGGGGCUGGCACUCUAAGGGGGGAGGUCACAUCUGGCUGGGGAAAUCGAAGGAUCCCCAGGGGGCCGGUGACCCCUGGGGAAGGGUCACUGAGUCACUGAAACACCAUGCCACGUGCUGCUGGCUGGUCUAUGUCCUGCUCCCCAGAGCUGGGGACAUUGCGGAGGCAGGGGCAGAGGCAGCCGGCCUCUACCCAGCCAUCAUCACCAGCUGCCUCCAGGCCUCAGCCAGGACCCUAACUGUCUGGCUCCCCAGGCAGCCCUCCCUGAAGGGGACAGCCCCCAGGACGCUCCUCUAACAUAUGUACCCACCCCAAGGCCCAAAGUCACAGCAGGCUGUAGACGCAGGAACCUGGUCCCCAGAAUGGAGUUGAUAACCUGUCUGUCUGCUGUUCCGCUCUUGAAGAGAUUGACCCCCAUCAGGAAUAGCUAUUGACCCCGAGGUCAAGAAAAGAGGAAGGUUAGGGCAUAAAAAGGAAGAGAGGCCAUCAUUUGCUAAGAGGCCCCACGCCCCUGACGAGGUCUGAGUUGUUGACUCUCCCCGUCACCACUGCUCAUCCAUCCCUGGCCUGAGCAGCUAGACCAGAGCCAGCAAGGGGCAUCCCCACGGCCGCGGACCCCUCUGGUCUCCACCAGCCCCAGAGGAAGCUGCGGUCACUCCACCACCAGCAUCAUCUCCCCGCCCUCUAUCAUGGACCUGCCCAGGACCUUCCUCUAGCACAUGGCCAAGCCCAUCACACAUCAGUCAUGCCAACCCUGCCUCCGCCACCAUCACCAGCAUCCUGCCACUGUGCCCAUCAGGUUGGCUCCAUCAUCUCUGACAGCCACACCACCAUGACAGUCCCCCCAACACCACGGCCACCCGUCCUGCUGCCCACCCCCCAUGUCUUUGUGGCUUAUCUGAGGUGGGAGAACCCGUUCCUGCACUUUGUGAGGGAGGCCACGCCCGCUCUGCUGCGGAGGGCCCAGCCUCCCGGCAUUGGGUGGGGGGUCCUCAGCCUCGGAGGGCCUGGUCUUGGGCACAUUGUUUACCUUGUUGAGUCUCCGCAUCCCAUCGGCAGGAAUAAAAGUCCCCCCCUCCA